GUAAAGUUUGUAUGUUUGUUUGUAGGAAGUAACCUCAGGAACUACUGAACCGAUUUUGAAAAUACUGUCACCAGUAAAAAGGUACAUUAUUCGUGAGUGACAUAGGCUAUAUUUUAUUUUCAAAAAAAUUUGAGAUCCUUACGAAAAUUGUAUUAAGCUACUAGUGC